AACCUGCGGAAGGAUCAUUACCGAGUGAGGGCCCUCUGGGUCCAACCUCCCACCCGUGUCUAUCGUACCUUGUUGCUUCGGCGGGCCCGCCGUUUCGACGGCCGCCGGGGAGGCCUUGCGCCCCCGGGCCCGCGCCCGCCGAAGACCCCAACAUGAACGCUGUUCUGAAAGUAUGCAGUCUGAGUUGAUUAUCGUAAUCAGUUAAAACUUUCAACAACGGAUCUCUUGGUUCCGGCAUCGAUGAAGAACGCAGCGAAAUGCGAUAAGUAAUGUGAAUUGCAGAAUUCAGUGAAUCAUCGAGUCUUUGAACGCACAUUGCGCCCCCUGGUAUUCCGGGGGGCAUGCCUGUCCGAGCGUCAUUGCUGCCCUCAAGCACGGCUUGUGUGUUGGGCCCCCGUCCCCCUCUCCCGGGGGACGGGCCCGAAAGGCAGCGGCGGCACCGCGUCCGGUCCUCGAGCGUAUGGGGCUUUGUCACCUGCUCUGUAGGCCCGGCCGGCGCCAGCCGACACCCAACUUUAUUUUUCUAAGGUUGACCUCGGAUCAGGUAGAGGAUACCCGCUGAACUUAAGCAUAUCAAAA
rnacentral:rRNA from 1 species